AAAUCCAAGUUAAAAUGUAUUAAUAAUAAUAACCUAAAAAACUAGACUAAGAAUACAUUUCGAAGCUCUUCGGCGUCUCUAUUAGUGGAUUCCGAUGGUGAUAUCAUUCAACUAAAGAAGCACGGUGGGUAGGAACCCAACACAGUUGCGGAGGGUUACGUAGACGACUCGAUAAAAAACAAAAUGGAUUCCGCAGUGAAAAUUUUAACUGGAACAACUAGUUCGACUUCAAGCAACAUUUUAAAUGUUCACGAUCCUACCAAUAAUCCAAUAAGUACUAAUACAACAAACUAUAGUCGAUGUUAUUUCUUUGAACUCGUUAAAUGUUGCCAAUUCAAGUAUCAAUACUGAUGUAACUUUUUCCUCACUUCAAAUUAAUAAUGCUAACAGUUGUACUUUUAAUAUUACUAUUAAAAAAUUACAAUUGAUAAAAGUUUUGUCGAAUUUUUCGGACGUAGAAAAAAAUGUGUAUGAAACUCGUGAGUAAAGUACCUUUUUUUAACUUGUACGAAUUGGGAAAAAAGUAUUACUUUACUCACUUGUUGCAAAAAUAAUUAUUGUUUUCUAAAACCGCCGGCAAAUAUUUAAUCGAGUAUGGAAUCUAGUACAGGUAUUUGAACAACAAUAUUGUGACCAAUCAGUUAUUUAUUUUAUAAACAAAUGAUGUUCAAUGGAAAUAUUCAGGUCAGGCGGUGUCAUGGUAGUUCAUUAAACCAUUAAUUAAAAUAUAUUCAACACACGUAUUUACCUUCGGAUUAAUAGAACCUGUCUUAGUUAAAAUUAAAAAAUAUGUUGAAAAUUAUCGAUAUAAAUGAUAAAAAUACAGGAUUCGAUACUAUUUAAAUAACAACGACUUCAAUAUUAACUCUGAGAUUUAUCAAUUUUAACAUAUUAUAGCAAAAGUUUAGAGAUUCAAAUUCAAUUUGUGCUUUUUAAAAGAAAAAUCUGUAAAAAUUUUAUUUUCAAUUGAUGGACAAAAGUAAAUUGGACAUAUCUAAAUAUCCUACUUAAAAAAAAUAUGAAAGACAUAAGUUUAAAAAAGCUAAAACGUUAUUUUGUAAUUAUUUCGCUUUGGAACGAAUUAUUUUUUCAAUAUUCUUUCGUCCUAUACAGGACCUUUCAAAAAAAUAUGUUCCCGUCUCUAGGGUAGAUAGAAAACUGAAAAAUAUUUGGGGUUUACCCAGUAAAACAUUUUCGUAACGCCAUCCGUACUCAAGAUAUAAACAAUAAUGCGCAUUUCUUACUGGCAACACUGGAUUGAAAUUUCAUACGAAUAUGUUUUAGAAGCUGAUACAACCAAUGAAUUUGUUUUUAUGUCUCACUCUAAUAGAGUUAGUUACAGUAGAGAUGAUGAGUCCACGUGGACUGACGGUUUGUUAGAUGUUCACAGAAUUUUAUACGGGGAGUAAACAUUACAUUUUUCAUUUCUUAAUUUGAUAUGAGUGCCGCGCGUUUUUAUGAAAUAUUGAUUGUUCCUCGCGUAACUGUCUUCUGUAAUUGCUAUUGAAAGAGCUGUACCGUUUUCGGAAUAUUUUGAUUUGAAUAUUACGAAGUUAUAACCGAUGAAUGAAUAAUAUAAAUGUAAAAAAGGUUAAUAACAUAAAACAGAAUUCACUUAGAGUAUGUUUUCAAAACGUUCUCCUUUUUCAAAAAUACACAAGUUUGUCCUUUUUUCUAAAGAAUCCAUUGAUCUUCUAAACGGCUGGGAGUCAGCUAUGAGGUCAUUGAAGUGGCUUUGAAUAUGUCUUUCAAUUCUUGAGGUGUAGCAUAAACUUGGCCAAUGAAUCGGAGCCUCUGCACCUCUACCAAUCGAUUUGGAAAAUGGUUAAUCAACUAAUUACGACACCUUCUAUCAAAGUGUUCCAUGGUGCACAAAAAAUGGAGUUCUUGGCUCGUUUAGCGUUAAAUCUUCAAUCUAUUUAAAUUUCCAAGUAGAAUGUGAUAACCUAUUAAUUUAUUACCGAAAGUUGCUGCCCAAACUUUAAACGAGUGUUGGUAGAGUCGUACCCAUACAUGUGGAUUCGUAUUACACCAGUAGUCUGCAUUAUGGGAGUUAAAUACACCUUGUAAAACAAUUGGAUUGAGGGCUGCCAUUCUUUUCUCAAUUUUUUCGGAAAACCUUUCUACGGUUGACAUUCGGAAAAACCGAUUUGAUGGUUAAAGUAGAAUUUAUUUUUGAUUUUUCGCAUUUUAUGUCGCAAUUAUUAGUUUUAUCAAAAAACGUUAUAUAACAUUUUUUGUAGAGCACUUUAUAGUCUAUAAUUUAUCUCAAUGAAAACUUUUAAUAUUUUUUACUAGUCGAUAGUUAUUCGCUUUAAUCUAAAAAAAUGCAUUUCAAUUUAGAAUUAAUAAAAGAAUCCGCUCUGUAUAAACCGUGAUUGGGAUUAUUUUAUAUCUACUUCGAGAUAAAUUAGAUACUAAAGUUUGAAAAAAAAUACUGACCAGAUAAUUGAAGUUUGUAUUAUAAAAAGAAACAUGUGCGUAUAACGGGUUUAACAAAAAAAUUGAUAUCUAAUUAAAAAUUUAACGGGAUACCUAUGACAGAACAGUUUCUUUCUUCAUUGAAAUAGUAUCCAUUCUUGUUUUUUUUUUCAAUUCCCAGGCCCAUAUUUAUACAAGGUCUUACUUUGGAAUAAAAAUAUUUAACAUCUGGGACUUCUCCAAUAAAUUACUUUCAGUUGUAAAAAACGUUUUAUUUUUUUUUUCGGCGGAUGUUCGCGAUUGUUGGAUUGUCCAUGAGCCCACGUAAAUCUUCGAGCAUUUCCAGAUAACCUCCACCCCGUACAGGUUUAAUUCUUCUUCAAUGAAGACGUGAGGAUUGACUUGAACGUUGCUUCAUCCGACAACAAAAUGAAAUGCUAGAACUACGUAUCAUACUGAUUGCAUCCAAGGCACCUCUCGCAAAAUUCCAAACUCGAUAGUGCAUCCGUCAUAAAGACGUUCAGUCUCUGAAGACGAUGACUUAGUUGGUGUAUGGUAGUGUAAUCAUCGUGUUCGGUAUGAAUAUCAGUUAAGUUGGGCUCCACGCUAACGCCAGCGCCACUAUAUACAUAUUUUCGUUAUACGUUAGAAGUUCGGGACGAUUUUCAAUGCCAUCUAUGUUAUCGGUUUACAUCUAAAAGCUUACUUUUUGGUGUUUUAUUUUUGAAUGUUUGUCAAUCUGGAUUCUGAAACUAAGUUGCAAUCAUGCAUCGAGAAACAACCAACAUUAUUGAAUGAACAACGUCGAUCUUGCAAGGGUGUUUGAUAUUGUUUAUUUAUUAGCUAUUUGCAUUUUUGUGCAUUUGAAAGUUAUUAUUUGUUGCGAAUUGUGCUGUCGUGUUUACUUAGUCAAUAUGAGUAAAGGAGUAAAGGCCUGCUGUGUACCAGGAUGCACGAAUAAGCAAGAGAUAAGGUGAGAGUAAUAAUUUACUAUUUAUCAAUAUAAAAAUAUUUAAAUUGAAAUCAAGUUCAUAUCUAUACGAGAAUAAGUCUUUUCUUCCUAACUUCAUUAAUUUGUAUUUAGGAAAUAAUUUUGUUGAAUGGUUAAAUAUGUUGAAUGAUUUUAACCUUAUUUUACUUUUUUAUAGACAUUUCAUUCCUACGAAUGAAGACAUUUGCAGAAUUUGGUCGCAAAGAAUAAAUAACCCCAAGUUAAUGCUUGCAGAUAUGGUAUAUUAUUAUCACAUAGAAUAUGUGAUAUUCGUUUUGAACCAAUUUGUAGAAACCCCAAUGGUAGGUUAAAAAAACUUUCACUGCCAACUCUACAUUUACCUGGUUACGAAAAAGGUGAAAUUCAUUUCAUUUUAUGAACCCAUCAAAAAAGAGUGGUAGAUGUAUAACACCAUCAAUUAAGAAACUACAAUUCACCAUUAGAGGAUUUGUGUACAUUUGGCAAAAGUUGCGGCAAAAAGGAUUCAAAUAUUUGAGUGCCAGAAACUUAAAUCAAGAUGCUAUUGAAAAUUUAGGAAUACGAAUCCUUCACGUGCUGCAUUUGUUUCGUCCACAAAGUCUUUAAUUGUAAAUAAAUAAACAUUCGCCAGGAUUUAAUUGUGAAGACGACUUUUUAACGGGGGCAUUGAUUUGAAGAAAUUAUUUAAAAGUCUCAAACGCCACUUGUGUAAAAAUAUAUUCCAACAAAUUAAUUAAGGCAAAUUCAUUAAUAUAUUCUAGGAAACAUAAAAAAAAUGUUUUAUGUGCGCCUUCAGCAAAAUUCUGUGAUAUUUUUAAAAGUUUUUCUGAUAAAAUCUUCGAAAGAUUGCCCCAGUUAAUCAAUUCGCUAGGCAUAAAAAAACGAAUAUUUUAUUUGGAAGAUUUGACAGAUAUUUCCUCGAUAUUUUGUGCAGAUUAUAAGGAUUAUUUAAAUGUGUAUAUAUUAGUUUUAACAUAUGCAUCUUUCAUUACAUAGGUAUUAUUAAUAAAAUUUUGAAGGGCAUAGAUCAACAAUAUAAAGACAACAUGUUGUGAUGAAUAUGGCAUAUUUAAAUAUAGGAAAAGCUGCAAGAAAGACCACGGUAAUCAUUAAUUAACCAUGGUUAUAAAAUCAGUUUUUUAUAUACCAUUGUAUGUACCAUUUACAAACAGAAACAUUUUUUUAAACAAGCCAACAUCUCACUGUUGACUGUCCUAAGCCUGCUAAAGUGCAAAGGAAAAUUUUUUGUUUGUGGAUAGUUAUAAAAUGUCAAAAACAAAAUAAAAAUUAUAAUAAUC